CAGUGGGGAAUUUUCCGCAAUGGGCGAAAGCCUGACGGAGCAACGCCGCGUGAGGGAGGAAGGCUCUUGGGUUGUAAACCUCUUUUCUCAAGGAAGAAGCAAUGACGGUACUUGAGGAAUCAGCAUCGGCUAACUCCGUGCCAGCAGCCGCGGUAAUACGGAGGAUGCAAGCGUUAUCCGGAAUGAUUGGGCGUAAAGCGUCCGCAGGUGGCAAUGCAAGUCUGCUGUCAAAGGCUGGGGCUUAACUCCAGACAGGCAGUGGAAACUGCAUCAGCUAGAGUGCGGUAGGGGCAGAGGGAAUUCCCGGUGUAGCGGUGAAAUGCGUAGAGAUCGGGAAGAACACCAGUGGCGAAAGCGCUCUGCUGGACCUGCACUGACACUCAGGGACGAAAGCUAGGGGAGCGAAUGGGAUUAGAUACCCCAGUAGUC
rnacentral:rRNA from 1 species